AAAAACGGCAAAGAGAUUGAAGGGACUUUGGGGGGACUUCAAAUUGGAGUAAAAGAAGUGGCUGCUGGUCUAAAAUAUAUAUAUAUACAUACACUGCCGGCUGGAGAAAAAUAAAUUGGAGAUCGGCUUGGAAGAAUUUUUUUGCAGCUGCUUAGGGAAACUGGUUAUAUAUACACACAGAAUUUGGCAGAAAAAGUGGAAGAAUUCUUGGGGUUUUGCUUUGGAAUUCAAACUUAGCAGUUGGAAGAUUGAAGGAAAAUAAAAGUCAGAAACAUUGCGACUGGAAUUAUACAAGAAGCUAUCGGGUGGAAGUCAAAGAAAAGGCUACAGAUUUGAGAGGGAAACAAACGGCCAAAGUGAAAGAAAAAUACACAUGCGCAGAAGUCCAGAAAGAAAUUGAGGAAUUAAUCAUGUUUCGUCGACUUUGGGUGAUGUCUUUUCACUUUUAUUUGUUUAAUUCCAACGUUAUGCUAGGU
rnacentral:lncRNA from 1 species